UUGACCUCGGAUCAGGUAGGGAUACCCGCUGAACUUAAGCAUAUCAAUAGGCGGAGGA
rnacentral:rRNA from 2 species